GUCAGCACCUGGGGUGAGGAAAGAGCCCCCCAGUCCUCUGCCCUGCUGUGUCCCAAAGCCUGGGCCAAACUAUCCUUCCUCAGCUUCUGCCCGCUCCUCUCCAUCGCAGGUAUAGCCUUCACAAUAGUGGGGCCUACUCUAGAAGGAGCUCAGUGCGCCUGGCAGCUGUGACACGGACUGUCCUCCCCUUUCUGCUACGUGGGCACAAGGCCCAUUGGGGGACCCAAUGCAGGUUGCUGGUAUUUUCCCUUCUCUCCUCUGUCUCCCAUCACCAAACCCUCAGUCCCCACAGGAUCAUUCUGACUCUGUCGUGCAAUGCUCCUUGUUCACCUUGGCCCAGGGAAAACUGGCUGUGUGAAAACCAAGACCUGGAAGAUCACUGGAACAGUAGGGCUCAGCAGCUGGGUCGCUUGCUCCAUCCCAGCCUCCUUGAAGACUUUAGGUCCCUCAAACCUCCAAGAGAAGCUUGUGGCACAGGGAGGGAAGAGAAAGGAAGAACUGAAUUGCCGGAGGUGCCUAAUGAGUAAGUCGGGUUUGGAGAGGGAAAGGAACUUUCUGAAAAGGAAACAUGGAAGCUGGGCAUUGUGGCACACACUUGUAAUCCUAGUACCCUAGGAGGCUGAGGCAGGAGGAUUCUGAGUUGAGUCU
rnacentral:lncRNA from 1 species